GGAUGAUUUUCACUACGCUGGGGGCGUAGCUCAUCACGCGCCGCGUGAUGGAGCUCACAGGGAGCCAAGAUUUUCACUCUGAUCACGCGCGGCGUGAUACCUGACCACGCGCGGCGUGAAGCCUUGUUCAAGAAGAAGAUUGCUCUCUGACUUGAUCACGCGCCGCGUGAUACCGUUAUCACGCGCGGCGUAGCUGAUGGAUCUGUAACCACGCGCGGCGUGAUAGAUCUGGCGCGCGGCGUGGUUGCGUUCAGUAUAUAUGGUUUCUGCAUAAUUCUGUUUUGGGGUUGGAAAAUUCUGCAAAUUUGAUCUACAUUCUGGGUUUGGAAACUUCAAGAUUGGGAUUCAAGACUCCAGAGGAUAGCUCCAAGCACAUCGAUAGCAUGGAUUCACAAGCCAUGACGUUGAAGCUAGGACGCGAACGAAGGGAGAUGAGGAGCUAAGCUUCUUUGGAGGUAGGAUCUAGGAUAGUCUAGGAUGUAGAUGGAUCAGUUGUAAUCCGCUAUAUGUGUAAGAAUCUACUCUGUUCAUAGUGUUGAUUUAAUGCAAUUCGAUGCUUAAUGCUUUAUAAUCCUUCAUUAGUGUUGUAAUGAUUUCGAGUUAAGUCACGUGCGAGAGUAUUGAUUUAAUUUCUGAACUGAAUUGCAUUGAGCACUCGAGUGUCUCCGGUCGAGAGAUUGAGGCAUAGAGUGUAGCGAACGAUCGACGCGCGUUCAUAUCAUCGUUGUAGGUAGCUUCCGCCCGAGAGAUCGGGGGAGUAUCGACAACGAAUAGAGUGGAUUUUGACAAGAGAUUGCGAUUCACUAAUUUGUCGAUCUAGUUGUGAACACUUGAGUAGAUUCCUAUGAUAU
rnacentral:lncRNA from 1 species